CCCCUGCGCGUCUCUCCGAGUGAGUUAGACUAGGCUGGGCUACACCAGCCUCCGCCCCACCUUCCCCUUCUGCUCCUGCAGCAGAGGCAGCGGCCAUGUGUGUUGUGCUGGAUGCCUCCCUGGUCCCUCCUGUGCUCCUGCAUGGCCUGCACCGACGGCCCUCUGCUCUGUGGGCCCGGGUGGGCUCAGCCAGUGGACAGUGGUGGCAGGAAGCCCAGAAGAAGGACAGAACAAAACCAGGGGGUUUGUUUCCCGGCUCCCUGUCUGAAGAGUUGCCACAGGCUGGCUGUCCCUUGACCAAGGACCAUGGCUCCUACCAACUGCCCCCUUUCCAGAGCCAGCCACACCCGCUGCAAUCCGAUCACCUCUCCCUCCUCUCACCUCCUCUGGCCCAAGGCUGGUAACAGCCCCAGCUCUGCUAGCGUGUGGUCCUGCACCAGCCCCGGUGGGCUCCUAAGCCCCUCCCACACUUCUGCUUCACUGCUGUGUACAGUUGUGCAGGCUGUGUCCUGCCCAAGACCACCUUGUUAAGGAGGCACAGAGGCUCCAAACCCACGCCCAACUUCUGCUCAGCAAAUAGCUGUACCCACCCAGAGGAAGAGAUGUCUUUCCUAAUGUGCAAAGAAGCACCGGGUAUAAAUCAUCGUGUUUAAUCCUCUUAACAGCCCUGAAAGAUUCCAAUUCUGAUACCAGGAUUGUCGUUCCUUGGCCAACCUCAUACUCCAGAAUCAGACGUGGAUUUUGUUUCUCGGCUCUGCUACUUGCUAACCGUGUGGCAUUGGUGAAGUCACACAAACUCUCUGAGCCUUGUGUGUAAAACGAAGAUAAGAACUCACUCGAUCACUCUGCGGAAGUGAUUAAAUGAGAUGAAGUACGUACACCCUUGGCAAGGUGCCCCGCAUGGGUAGUUACCGUGGCUCAGUGAAGGGAGAAAAACACGGUAGGAGGAAGAAGUCUGCCAAACCAUCCUCCAGAGCACCACCCACGUCCAGGUGUCUGUGCUGAAAUCAGUGCUGCUCACGAUGCUCCUCUGUGCACAACCUUCGAUGGCUCCCUACUGCUGAGGGAGGAAAGGUCAAGUUGCCACAUGCAGCAGUACGCAAACCUUUUCAGCACCAGGGGCCAGUUUCGUGGAAGAUAAUUUUUCCAUGGAUGGAGUUGGGGGGUGGCAGAGCUCUGAGGCCCGGUCCCUAACAGGCUGCAGACUGGCACCAGGUUGGGGACUGCAGACAUAGAGCAUAGAAGGCCCUUUGGAACCUUUGGACCUUAAAUCUAAUGUGUUUUUUUUUCUCCUGCCUAUUCUUUCUUUUACCAUGGCUCUGCUCUCAUCAAAACUCUGAUCCUCCUUUUAUUAUCUAUGAGUUUUCAUAUCUUAUAUCCACUUUAGAUUUACUGCUAUCUUUGUUUACAGUGAUAUUAACUCCAUCUCCCUUAAUAUUCCAGCGAGGAUCCAGCCCGUUUGUUAUUAGUUUAGAAUACAACAGUCCCCCCUAUCCUCAGGGAAUAUGUUCCAAGAUCCUCAGUACACGCCUGAAACUCUGAAUAGUAUCAAACCCUACAUACAUGAUGUUUUUUCCUAUACAUACAUACCUAUGAUAAUUUUUAAUUUAUAAAUUAGGCACAGUAAGAGGUU